rnacentral:rRNA from 1 species
CCUACGGGUGGCAGCAGUGAGGAAUAUUGGUCAAUGGGCGCGAGCCUGAACCAGCCAAGUAGCGUGAAGGAUGACUGCCCUACGGGUUGUAAACUUCUUUUAUAAGCGAGAAAUAUGAUGGUAACUUAUGAAUAAGGAUCGGCUAACUACGUGCCAGCAGCAGCGGUCAUACGUAGGAUCCGAGCAUUAUCCGGAGUAACUGGGUGUAAAGGGUUGCGUAGGUGGCAUAAUAAGUAGCUAGUGAAAUCUGGUGGCUCAACCAUUCAGACUAUUAGCUAAACUGUUAAGCUCGAGACCGUUAGGGGUAACUAGAAUUUCUAGGGUAGGAGUGAAAUCCGUAGAGAUUAGAAGGAACACCAAUAGCGUAGGCAGGUUGCUGGGACGGUUCUGACACUAAGGUACGAAAGCGUAGGGAGCAAACGGGAUUAGAUACCCCAGUAGUC